rnacentral:misc_RNA from 1 species
AUUCAACACAGAAGAUAUCAGUGAUGUUAAACGGCUUCCAACCUACACAUCCAAUCCCAUUUACUAAUAAUAAAAAAAUAUAUUUAGAAGAAUCCGUAAGCAAAGUAGCCAAACUCUCUGCACAAGCUGUAGAUUUUCCAACUCAAGGUAAACCUGUUUCUUUGCUUUAGCUUUCUGGAGGAGCAGGAGCAGGAGCAGGAGCUGGAGCUGGGGCCUUCAAAAGUGGUUGGAGUGCCUUCACAACUAUGCUCAUAUUUGGCCUGAACUCAGCUUCAUAUUGCACACAUAAUGCAGC